AGUGAACGCUGGCGGUAGGCCUAACACAUGCAAGUCGAACGGCAGCACAGUAAGAGCUUGCUCUUACGGGUGGCGAGUGGCGGACGGGUGAGGAAUACAUCGGAAUCUACUUUUUCGUGGGGGAUAACGUAGGGAAACUUACUCUAAUACCGCAUACUACCUACGGGUGAAAGCAAGGGAUCUUCGGACCUUGCGCGAUUGAAUGAGCCGAUGUCGGAUUAGCUAGUUGGCGGGGUAAAGGCCCACCAAGGCGACGAUCCGUAGCUGGUCUGAGAGGAUGAUCAGCCACACUGGAACUGAGACACGGUCCAGACUCCUACGGGAGGCAGCAGUGGGGAAUAUUGGACAAAGGGCGCAAGCCUGAUCCAGCCAUACCGCGUGGGUGAAGAAGGCCUUCGGGUUGUAAAGCCCUUUUGUUGGGAAAGAAAAGCAGCAGGUUAAUACCCCGCUGUUCUGACGGUACCCAAAGAAUAAGCACCGGCUAACUUCGUG
rnacentral:rRNA from 1 species